rnacentral:pre_miRNA from 1 species
GUUCACUUGUGUGUGAAUUGUGUUCAGCACCAAGGACAGGUAUGUUCACCUGUGUGUGAAUUGUGUUCAGCACCAAGGACAGGCAUGUUUACCA